AGAAGAGUCCCGCGGGCAGUUGCAACAUUUUGCAUUGGCUUAAAAAUAGCACAGCAAAUUUCUUUCUUUUUUUUUGUUUGGUAUUUUUACGGGGCCAGACAGUGCAAAAACAAACAGAGAAAAUGCAUACAAUAAUUUAUUGAUAUGCCGGGCGAAAAAUAUUCAAUAACAAAAUGUUCUAUAUUUUUGUUUUUGUUUUUUAUUUAUCAAUUGCAGAGUGUUACCAGAUGCAAGAGCGUUAACAGAGAGAGAGAGUGAGAGAGAGAGAGAGGGUCACUAACAGAGAACCGCCCGGCAAACUAAAAGGGAAGACAACAAGUGAGCAAAGAAAACCAAACAAAAAAGCAAAUUGGAAUAAAUAUUGGAACUAUGAUAAGAUUUAAAUAAUUACACUAAUCACUACAGCGGAUAACUAGGGAAGGUAAAAAAAAAAAGGUAGCGUAACAGCUCGCCACAGUCUGUCUCUGUUUCACAUUUACGCGUAAUUACCUCGGAAAAUCGGGAAAGCCAAAAUGGCGGCGACGCCAUCAUCAUCGCCAUCGUCAUCGUCAUCGUCGCCAAGACAUCGUUAAAUUAAAUCUAUUGUCGACGCAUUCAAUGUGCAUAUAAAUCAUUUAUGGUCUUUCAGCCAAAUGCAACAGGAUCCAGAAGGAGGGAAUCGAGAGACGGCCACAAAUGCCGCAAUACAGCCCCCAAAAACCAGCCGGCAAAAACCACAGUAAAGACAUUAAAGUGCACACACACUCUACACACCCAACACACUCUCUCACACACAACCCUUCGAACAAAAGAUGAAGAAAACUGGGGCUCAGUCGCUGAGCAUUUCAUAAAAUUUGAUUACAGUGAAUGCGUAAAGUUUACGACCAAGCAAGGGGAAUUAACUCAAAGUGGCAACACACACACACAUAUGCGUCGGCGGCAUCUGCGGCUUUCCUUAACUCUACAUCAGGAUGCCAGAAAACCAGGAUACCGGGAUGCCAGGAUACAGGAUACAGGGCUAUCGGGAUAUCAGGGGAAUUGCCUCGCUGCCUCUACCUCGCUGCCCUCAAAGAAAUCCAUUAGACGGCAGAUGAAAAUGAUAAUAAUUUUGUUAUUAAAGCUGGAAAUGUUGAUUAUGAUUAGGAAU